GAUGAACGCUGGCGGCGUGCUUAACACAUGCAAGUCGAACGGAAAGGCCUCUGCUUGCAGGGGUACUCGAGUGGCGAACGGGUGAGUAACACGUGGGUGAUCUGCCCUGCACUUCGGGAUAAGCCUGGGAAACUGGGUCUAAUACCGGAUAGGACAAUGGUUUGGAUGCUGUUGUGGAAAGUUUUUCGGUGUGGGAUGAGCUCGCGGCCUAUCAGCUUGUUGGUGGGGUAAUGGCCUACCAAGGCGUCGACGGGUAGCCGGCCUGAGAGGGUGUACGGCCACAUUGGGCCUGAGAUACGGCCCAGACUCCUACGGGCGGCAGCAGUGGGGAAUAUUGCACAAUGGGCGCAAGCCUGAUGCAGCGACGCCGCGUGGGGGAUGACGGCCUUCGGGUUGUAAACUCCUUUCGCUAGGGACGAAGCGUUUUUGUGACGGUACCUGGAGAAGAAGCACCGGCUAACUACGUG
rnacentral:rRNA from 1 species